rnacentral:misc_RNA from 1 species
GAUGAAGAACGUAGUGAAAUGCGAUACUUGGUGUGAAUUGCAGAAUCCCGUGAACCAUCGAGUCUUUGAACGCAAGUUGCGCCCGAAGCCACUAGGCCGAGGGCACGCCUGCCUGGGCGUCACACGCCGUUGCCCCCCCAUCUACUCCUUCGGGAUUGCGGGGGGGCGGAUGAUGGCCUCCCGUGCGCCUAGCCGCGCGGUUGGCAUAAAUACCAAGUCCUCGGCGACGCACGCCACGACAAUCGGUGGUUGCGAAACCUCGGUUGCCCGUCGUGUGCGUUCGUCGCGCAUCGAGGGCUCGAAAAAAUGCUCGGCUCCGGCUGGGCUUUUAACGCGACCCCAGGUCAGGCGGGGUUACCCGCUGAAUUUAAGCAUAUCAAUAAGCGGAGGA